UUAAUCAAAUUACAAUUUACUUUAUUUUUUUAUUAUAUUUUCUUAAUCAAUGUGAAUUACUCAAAAGCAAUAUUAUUGUGAAAAGAAGUUAGUACUACUCCUCCCUAUUUAUAAGACAUUUGAUUAAUUUAGUUUAUAAUAUGAUAAAUUGCUGAUGUGGCAACUCAUGUAAACAUUAUUUUUGAAAUUUUUGGUAGUUUUAAUUUUAAAUAAAAUAAAAUUAAGAAAUUUAUAGGAAUAUCAAUGUCUUCGUCUUCUCAACUUCAUCGUAUCUUUAUAUUAAAACCAAAAAAAUAAAAUAAAACCCCAAUUCAUAUAUAAAGGCAAGAUUUUAAAAAAAUAAAAUUAAUUCCCAUCUCCCUCUCACACUAUAGCACCCAUUAGACCAUCACCCUAAUCUCCCACUAACCAACGACAAACUUGAAACUAAUCAAGCUGAAGCCUCAACACUAUACAACCACAUCAUUGAUUCUAAACAACACAGCUCUAUCAUCAAUAACCUAAUCAACCGAAUUGAACAAAAUACAUCAUUUAAUUUAAUUUGAUAAAUAAACGAGGUGAUGGAUGUGAUUGUGUGAGAGGGAGAUGGGGACUAUGUUUUAUGGAUUUACUCCUUUUGUGUGUGUUGUUUCUUUGAUAUUGAAAGCGUUAAGGAAUUGAAAAGUUCACGGGGGAAUCAGGCCAAUGAGGAAGAAAAUCAGGCAAAGGAUGGCAGAGGAGUUUCAAGAAGUCUCUCCAACAGAACACUCUGUCUUUUGUUUGACUGAAGUUUGUUCCAUAUCUAACUGCUGCUCUCAUGUCAGCUGUCAUGUACUUUCCUCUUUCCUCAAAUGGUAGAUCGAAAAAUCUUCCACUCACAUCCAUCAUGUUGUUCAUUACAUCUUCUGAGAUCCCAUGGUUUACCACCUUCAUCAAUCAAAACAUAAAUAAACUUUUAAUUAAUUAUAAAGUCAACUCUAAUACAAGCUUAACUUAAGUGUUUAUCAAGUAGCCUAUUCCCCAAAUAGUUUUAUAGCAUAAAUUUAUAUGCUUGUAAUUUGUUUAUAUCUCUGCUAUCUUAUUCAAUUUAUUUUAUGUUUUAUGUAAUUGCUUUUUAAAGCCGUCCCUAAAAAUGUAAUCUAGUAGCAUACAUCGAGACAUUGAAGAAGUAUUAAAUAGACGUUUAAGGUUUUAUUUUGUUAACA